rnacentral:rRNA from 1 species
AGGGCACCACCAGGAGUGGAGCCUGCGGCUUAAUUUGACUCAACACGGGAAAACUCACCCGGCCCGGACACUGGAAGGAUUGACAGAUUGAGAGCUCUUUCUUGAUUCAGUGGGUGGUGGUGCAUGGCCGUUCUUAGUUGGUGGAGUGAUUUGUCUGGUUAAUUCCGAUAACGAACGAGACUCUAGCCUACUAAAUAGAUCGUCGGCUUACAAACGCCGGCGAGACUUCUUAGAGGGACAGGCGGUGAUUCAACCGCACGAAACAGAGCAAUAACAGGUCUGUGAUGCCCUUAGAUGUCCGGGGCCGCACGCGCGCUGCACUGAAGUGAUCAGCGUGCUUUUUCAACCUACUCUGUCAAGAGUGGGGAACCCAAUGAACCUUCUUCGUGAUUGGGAUAGGGGAUUGUAAUUAUUCCCCUUGAACGAGGAAUUCCCAGUAAGCGCGAGUCAUAAGCUCGCGUUGAUUACGUCCCUGCCCUUUGUACACACCGCCCGUCGCUACUACCGAUUGAAUGUUUU